rnacentral:rRNA from 1 species
UGGGGAAUAUUGGGCAAUGGGGGGAACCCUGACCCAGCAACGCCGCGUGAAGGAAGAAGGUUUCCGGAUUGUAAACUUCUUUGAUGAGGGACGAUAAUGACGGUACCUCAAAAACAAGCCACGGCUAACUACGUGGCAGCAGCCGCGGUAAUACGUAGGGGGCGAGCGUUGUCCGGAUUUACUGGGCGUAAAGGGUGAGUAGGCGGUCAUAUAAGUCAGGUGUAAAAGGCUAAGGCUUAACCAUAGUUAGCACUUGAAACUGUAUGACUUGAGUGCAGGAGAGGUAAGCGGAAUUCCUAGUGUAGCGGUGAAAUGCGUAGAUAUUAGGAGGAACACCGGUGGCGAAGGCGGCGUACUGGACUGUAACUGACGCUGAGUCACGAAAGCGUGGGUAGCAAACAGG